UACGAAGGGUGCAAGCGUUACUCGGAAUUACUGGGCGUAAAGCGUGCGUAGGUGGUUUUUUAAGUCCGUUGUGAAAGCCCUGGGCUCAACCUGGGAAUGGCAGUGGAUACUGGAAAGCUAGAGUGCGGUAGAGGGUAGUGGAAUUCCCGGUGUAGCAGUGAAAUGCGUAGAGAUCGGGAGGAACACCAGUGGCGAAGGCGGCUACCUGGACCAGCACUGACAUUGAGGCACGAAAGCGUGGGGAGCAAACAGG
rnacentral:rRNA from 1 species